rnacentral:rRNA from 1 species
AUUGAACGCUGGCGGCAGGCCUAACACAUGCAAGUCGAGCGGGGUUUUCGGACCUAGCGGCGGACGGGUGAGUAAUGCAUAGGAAGCUGCCCGAUAGCGGGGGUUACCAGUUGGAAACGACUGUUAAUACCGCAUAAUGUCUACGGACCAAAGUGUGGGACCUUCGGGCCACAUGCUAUCGGAUGCGCCUACGUGGGAUUAGCUAGUUGGUGAGGUAAUGGCUCACCAAGGCGACGAUCUCUAGCUGGUUUGAGAGGAUGAUCAGCCACACUGGAACUGAGACACGGUCCAGACUCCUACGGGAGGCAGCAGUGGGGAAUAUUGGACAAUGGGCGCAAGCCUGAUCCAGCCAUGCCGCGUGUGUGAAGAAGGCCUUCGGGUUGUAAAGCACUUUCAGCGAGGAGGAAGGGUGGUGUGUUAAUAGCACAUCAUUUUGACGUUACUCGCAGAAGAAGCACCGGCUAACUCUGUGCCAGCCGCCGCGGUAACAC